rnacentral:rRNA from 1 species
UCAUACGGAGGAUCCAAGCGUUAUCCGGAAUUACUGGGCGUAAAGAGUUGCGUAGGUGGCAUAGUAAGCAGAUAGUGAAAUCGUCCCGCUCAACGGGAUAUCCAUUAUCUGAACUGCUAAGCUUGAAGACGAGAGAGGUAGAUGGAAUUCCCAGUGUAGGAGUGAAAUCCGUAGAUAUUGGGAGGAACACCGAUGGCGUAGGCAGUCUACUGGCUCGUUCUUGACACUAAGGCACGAAAGCGUGGGGAGCAAACGGGAUUAGAUACCCCGGUAGUCCACGCUGUAAACGAUGGAUGCUAGCUGUAAGCCGAUCGACCCGGCUUGUAGCGAAGCUAACGCGUUAAGCAUCCCGCCUGUGGAGUACGGUCGCAAGACU